AACUGAGACACUUUAUCAUUUCGAAAUCCCUUUAUUCUUAGUUCUAACGGCUAUUUUAAUUUCUAUCUCUAUUUUUUUCUUCUCUCUUCUUUCUCUACAAAUUCAACGCACUCUCUCCUUCCUCCAGUUCACUCUGAACUAAACCCAUCCUUUCACUGGCGUCCACACAAUCCGGCUUUACAGAAACCAAUCCGGGUCCGAAGGUUCGGGUAAUAGCAAAGAUUCGUGGGUUUUCGGAUCCAGAUACCAAUUUCGAAACCUCUAAACUGUGGAGUGGGGUUCGGUGAACACCGAAAAUUCUGGGGAGAAGUUACCAUCUCCUUUAAAGAACAAUCUUCUAGAUCAGCUUUUAUAGACCGAAUCCGAACCAUGUCCGACCGGUAUCCACCCCUACUCUCUGGGGGGAAGUUUUUCACUCUUCAUCUUGAGCUUCACCGGAGAAACUUCUUCCGGCGUCAUCCACCAGCUCACCGAGCACCACCACGAAACCUUCCACUGACCAUCAUCUUCCAUUCAACACCGCGGGCACGACCAUCAUCACCUACCAAACCCGCCGUGAACGGAACAACCACCACUACUAUUGGCUUCCCGUCGCCGGCAACACCACACACAACCACCCACAUCCAAACCACAAAUCUCAAAUCUACCUUCGGACUACCUCCACCCUCACACGAUCCAACAAAUCUCUGACGAACACACCUUACAACACCACUCCGCCACCACUGUACGACGGUUUCUACUCAAUAUGUAAAAUUUGAGCUGUUAUUCUUGUAGUAAGAAAGAAGGCAUCAGUAUCGCGUAAAGAGGAAAUAUGUUUGGUUGCGAGGGGGCGGAUCCACGUGAUAACUUGUAUAGGGGUUAUUGUUAUAAUAAGCGACCCAAGUUCAAAAUUAACCUAGAAAAUGUAGCUCUGGAUAUAUAUACAAAGAAAGCUGCUUUGAAGGCUUCUUCUUCUGUUGUUGCUCUUUUAUCUUAUUCUGGGGAGCAAGAGUUGACUCAAUGUUGUGGUGUUAUCAAUGAAAAUAAUGCCAGUAAUCGUCAUACUGUUUUGACAUCUGCAAACCUCAUCCAGUGUCGUACUGAACAAAAUGUGUUGGAAGAUAAAUUGGCUGAUAGUCUUAAGUAUUGCUCCUUGUGAUGAUGAUCUUAAUUGUUAGGAGCUCUUCAAGGGGACUUGCUCGAUCACAAAGUGUGGUGAGGGUGGCGCGCUCGUAAACCUUUAAGGACAAGUUAUUGGUAUUACAUUUUAUGAAGUGAGCUUUACUCCUUUUGUGCCUAUAUAAAUAGCUCAGAAAUACUGGGAGCAUUACGAGAGAUAUGGCAUGAGACUCUGGCGACCUUUAUUGGGAAUUGUGGCUACAAACUUAUAUGCAGUUGAUAUAUCUCACAUAGAGAAGGUUAUUCAUAAGAUUCCAAGUAUUUGCAAUGGGAUUCUUGUUGAGGAGGUAAUUCAAGGUUCUUCUCUUGAUUCUGCUAGGCUACAUGUGAAUGGCGUAACAGUUCAAUGUGAUGGAAAAACAGUUCAGUUUCUUGGAAAAACAGUUCAGUUAUGUUCCUUAACUAAAUCUCAUAUCACACCCCCUAAAGCAGCAGAGAACACCGGCGAACUUUUCAUCAACAAACCUACGUUCUACAUUGCAAUCAUGUCUCUUCUUACCAUGGGCCAAGAACACAGAGGCACUAGGGCGAACAUUGCCUCAUUCGUAAGUUUUCUUGAACAUUGCCUCUUUCGUAUGUUUAUAAUUUAUUUUUUAAAACUCCAAUCUAAUGAUGCAUGCGUUCACACCCUAUGGCUUAUCCAGACCCAUGGUGCGUACCUUACAUAGAGCGUGCGGGGUUGGGUCAUGUUAUGCAUGUGGUAAAUGCCACAAUUGAUGUGAAAUUUAUUCUUGCUUUGUGUGAACGUUGGAGACCAGAGACACACACUUUUCACCUACCAACUAGUGAAUGUACCGUCACACUAGAGGACGUGUACAUGCUUUUGGGUCUUCGAAUAUAUGGUAAGCCUGUGACUGGAAAUGUUCAACAGUCCAACGAACUAUGUGUUCAAAUGUUGGGCGUAGAUCUAGUCGAGGGUGAGGGAUCUGCGAACGCAAGGGGUCAGAGUAUUAAACUAUCGAGCCUCCAAUUCUACCACGACGCUAUAAUUUUGACUGAGGAUUCGUCCGAACAAGAAAAAAUAAUAAAACAAGGUUUUACAUUAUGUUAUUAUUUGGGAACUUGCUAUUUUCCGAAGACACGGGAAAUAACAUAAGCUUUAUGUACUUGAGUUUGCUCGAGGACAUAGAUAGAAUAAGCACGUAUAGUUGAGGUUCUGCUGUAUUGGCUUUCCUAUAUAGCUCUUUGUGUAAAAAUGCACAAAAUGACCACUAUACAUUUUCUGGAUGUGCUUUUUUGCUCCAAACAUGGGGGUGGUGGAGAUUGCUGAGGCUAGCCCCCGAAAAUUCUAACGUCUACUCCUUCCCCUACGCAACUAGGUUCAUUGCAACUGGACUAGAUUACAGUCUUACCCCGAAAAAUAAAAUAAUAUUUUAUCGUCAACUCUUGGAUCGUCUCCGAGCACAAGAUUUUAUUUGGAGACCAUAUUUGGGAUUGGAACAUCAACCCAACCCCGAAGAUGCAGCUGUUUGGACAACAAAAACGGCUAUCAUGCGGUUCACCACUGUGGAGAUGCACCAAAGUGACCAUAUCAAACUGCAAUUCGGAAUGCAUCAAGAAAUCCCAGCCCCCCCAAUGUCUUUGGAACCUUGGCAUCUUAAAAAAGUCAGCCACCAGUGGUAUGUCCAAAAUUGGAAGGCAUUUGCAAAGGAGUUCCGUAAAAUGUGGAAAGAGCGUACCCACUAUGUUCUACAAUUUCCAGUGGCGCCCAACGAAAUAAAGCUGACAAGGGAAUAUGUGGAUUGGUAUAGAGUAAAUACAAAUCCAGAAAUGAUUGUGUCUGACCCGUUCUAUUUGGACGAUCCCCGAAUGCAACAACCAUAUUUCCAACAACAACAACCACCACAAUAUUUCCAACAACAACCACCACAAUAUUACCAACAAUAACAACCACCACCAUAUUACCAACAACAAUCAUCACCACCGUAUUACCAACAACAACCACCACCACCGUAUUACCAACAACAACCACCAUAACACAUGUCCACCCCCCAACCAAAUCAACACUACAUACCACAAACUCAACCCCAAUAUCAUGAAGAUUAUCAACACCAACCUCAACAUUUCCACCACCAUCAACAGUCCCAACACCUACCACAAACUCAAUCCCCCCACCAACACCAAUCCCAACACUUCCAUCACGACGAUGUCCCGGGCUCUUCCAGUCCUCCACUUAGCCCCGACAUAGGUAUACAAGAGGAUUACCAACAAGACUAGUACACACCACAACAGACAUUGUUCUUUAGCCAACCCGAUUCAACCCUCAACUACCAAAUGCCACAUUUCGAGGGCGCAUCCAACAGGAGUCAGUUUGUCCCACCGAGACAAAGCUUUGAGGGCACAGAGGGCACCCGUCUUUCCUACAGCAUUGAAGGGACUUCGACCCAACCACAACGGCAAAGGGCAAGGGAACGCGUUAGGACUAGGGGUGGAAAUAGGGAAGCACCACCACCACGUGAGCCGUCUAGACGAGUAGUUAGACCU